GCCAGACUCCUACGGGAGGCAGCAGUGAGGAAUAUUGGUCAAUGGGCGGGAGCCUGAACCAGCCAAGUCGCGUGAGGGAAGACGGUCCUAUGGAUUGUAAACCUCUUUAGGCGGGGAGCAAUGCCGGGCACGCGUGUCCGGAGGGAGAGUACCCGCAGAAUAAGCAUCGGCUAACUCCGUGCCAGCAGCCGCGGUAAUACGGAGGAUGCGAGCGUUAUCCGGAUUUAUUGGGUUUAAAGGGUGCGUAGGCGGGAUGCCAAGUCAGCGGUAAAAAUGCGGUGCUCAACGCCGUCGAGCCGUUGAAACUGGCGUUCUUGAGUGGGCGAGAAGUAUGCGGAAUGCGUGGUGUAGCGGUGAAAUGCAUAGAUAUCACGCAGAACUCCGAUUGCGAAGGCAGCAUACCGGCGCCCUACUGACGCUGAGGCACGAAAGCGUGGGUAUCGAACAGGAUUAGAUACCCCGGUA
rnacentral:rRNA from 1 species